rnacentral:rRNA from 1 species
AUUGAACGCUGGCGGCAUGCCUUACACAUGCAAGUCGAACGGUAACAGGUCUUCGGAUGCUGACGAGUGGCGAACGGGUGAGUAAUACAUCGGAACGUGCCCGAGAGUGGGGGAUAACGAGGCGAAAGCUUUGCUAAUACCGCAUACGAUCUCAGGAUGAAAGCAGGGGACCGCAAGGCCUUGCGCUCACGGAGCGGCCGAUGGCAGAUUAGGUAGUUGGUGGGAUAAAAGCUUACCAAGCCGACGAUCUGUAGCUGGUCUGAGAGGACGACCAGCCACACUGGGACUGAGACACGGCCCAGACUCCUACGGGAGGCAGCAGUGGGGAAUUUUGGACAAUGGGCGCAAGCCUGAUCCAGCCAUGCCGCGUGCAGGAUGAAGGCCUUCGGGUUGUAAACUGCUUUUGUACGGAACGAAAAGACUCUGGUUAAUACCUGGGGUCCAUGACGGUACCGUAAGAAUAAGCACCGGCUAACUACGUGCCAGCCGCCGCAGUAAUAC